UGUAGACUUGGCGUAUUCAGUUGUGGUCUUAUAAAUUAUCAGUUGAGUUUAUUGAUAAUUUGGUUGGUUAAGUGGUUGAUUCAGGGAGCUGGCUCUAGGAGUUGGAAGAUGAGUAGGUAUCUAGAAGUGUGAUUUUGUCUUCUUUUCUCAAGUUAGGGUUAGCUCCCCUGCUUAUAAGCAUCUCGUGCUAUUGUGUUUGGUAACCCGACUUCUCCUCAGCUUUUUCCAGAAGUCAGCGCUUCUUUGCGUCAGAAACCCGAAGCCGCCGCCUCACCCCUGCUUUUAGAAGCAGAAGCCGGCAGGAGUACUGUGGUGCCUUUCACUGUAGCUUAAUGAAGAUUCAUUAAUACCGGUUGCUACCCUCCCUUCGUUGAAGCAAUUACGCAGAUGCCAUGACAUCCUUCUCUUCAAUCGUUAAUGCAGAUGCUGCUUCACGAUUCUGGGUUCGGAAUCGAAGCCGCAAUUAAGCAAGGCAGCUUGGCAAUUUGAUUCAGGCAAUCUGAUUUGAAGGGCAUGAAGGUGAGGCUUGAGGCGACUAAGAAGAAGAGGAAUUCUGUGCUCAAGUAUUUGAAGAAUGGUUUUGCCGAUCGUGGCCUUGAUAUUAAUGCAUAUGGAAGGUCCCAUCUAAUUCCAGAAAAAAAUAUCUGAAACUAAGGUGUUUCCGGAUAAAGAAAAAAUAAAUAAGAGUUGCAAGGAAAGCUGUCCUGAAGAAUGCAAGGAAGCUGUUGCAUCUGUGAUAUAUGCUACAACAAGAUUUCUUGAUUUACCAGAACUGCAUGACCUCAGAAACAUAUUAGCUGAAAAAUAUGGAGAUUCCGCACAAUCUUUUGUAAAUAAAGAGUUUGUGGACAAAUUCAAGCCAAAGCCCCUUACAAAGGAUAUGAAGGUACAAGUACUAAUGCAUGACAUAGCCAGAGAAUACUCAAUCGAAUGGGGGAUGGUGCCCUUGGGAGUUAUAGUAGCAGUAGCAAGGCUAGUGUAUGACUCAAUUAUAAAACUGAAUGUCUGAGAGUGAAUUUGAAUGAUGUAAUGAUUGAAAGGAAAUGAUCCAUGAUCAAUUGUAAUACAAAAUGGAGUUUAUAGAUCCAAGUUUAUCC